UAUGUAUAUAAGAAAUUUCCUUUUCGUCACUCUCAUCCAACGUAAUGUUUUCAUUCGUUUCGAGCUAACCUCUCUACCUCGAUGUCCAUGAGUCGAAGGCGAGGCCGAAGCUUGGAAGUCGUCAAUGCCAUCGAGAAUCGUGUGUGAUCGCGUUGGAUAACGAUGAUCAGCGUGCACACGUUUCACAAGCAGUGGGAUUGUGGUAAUCAUGUCCAUCCGAUGCCGGCGAAGCGUUACCAGGUGACUCAACAGACUCGUACGUCGGUUUCAAAGCGCCGAAAGAAAGGGAAAGUACCCGGGACAUCGAAGCAUGGGAGUCUGGUGUGCUCUCAGUCCGCGGAAAGCGACUGAACGCAUACGAGAAACGAUUCUCCGCACCAAUCUGUCGCGCAUUCACGGAAAUCGUGAUUCAGAUUCGUGGUGACACGGUGUACACCGGCUGGAAUUUCGUUCGUUGGACUCGCUGUGCUGAUCGGCGACAUUUUUCUGUGAUGCAGAUCGUGCUGGGUGGAGGAAUGGAAUUCUUCAGUUAAUCGAUCAUACGUCGGGGAAUAUCGAUCGACCAUGAUUCCAAAUACGCCCUGUCUUCGUGGAACCGAAUUGUCCCAGCGAACCACAGAUGCUUCAGAAUCUCUGCAUGCCUGACAUUUUCGCCAACUAGGACUCACGAUGUUGGAUCCAGUUCUUGGAACAUCGACGGUAUGGUGGUUCGUGGUGUACGCCAGUAUUUUGCUGCUGCUGUCGCCCCUGGUGCUGCUCUUCAUUGUACUGCUACCGAAUUUCCCGAUACUGUUGUUCAGAAGAAUGUGCUACAUCCCGAUAGAGUCGAUUUGACACGUCGAAUCAUCGGCUAGUUAACCUCUUAGAGAUCGUACCUCAUAAGUUACUAUGUUAGAAUCUCGUGUCGCGUAGCUGACCGAUGAGACCGUAUUUUAGUUUUAGAGGUUAGGAGACGACAUCGUGGUAUUCGAAAAUUUGAAGUAUAAAGAGUUACGAUAGUCUUUGAUAAUUAUAGAAGAGCAUAGGGUUAGUUUUAUAAUUAUAGUUCCGAGUAUCUAGCGUGGGACCGUAGAUUGAAAAGAGUUGUAAAGUCUCCUAAUAGAUACCUGCACGAAACUAUGUCGUGCGGAACAAUGACGUUGGGAUAAGUGGCCGGGCCUGGCAAUUUCUGAGCGCACAAAUUGCUGGGACAUACCUGCGUUUAUAACACGUAUUUUCCGCACUCUGUUCAACGAAAUCAAAAGUAUUCCUACAGUCAAUACCUACGAUAAUAUCUUUAACUUAAAGCAUUUUAACAAUUAGUCACUUCGUACAUUUAGGUAUACCAUUUAUUAGAAUUAUUUGUACCAGUCGAUUCAUCAUUCCCAUUUUAUACUACGAUGUAGCUAAUAAUCGCAAUGUACCGUGGAAUUAUCAAGUACACGAUUAAUUAGAGUUUAAUUAUAAAGAAAUUUGUACGGAAAAGCUAUCUAUAUUUAUUUACGGAUCAAUCGUCAGAGUUCCAGGUUUGUCGUAAUUUUGCACACGAUUCGAUUCUUCGCCCAAGUUCUUCUGUCACGGAUCUUUUACCAUCGUUGCCAAGAUUUCGCCAUGGCUGUCGCGAACGAAACGAGUAUAACCGACAUGCAAAACCGAUAUAACGGGAACGCGGUUUCGCAAAACGCGAAUCGCGAGUAGUACGACAAUUCCGAGAUAUUCUCGCGUUUUGGACGAACCUAGUAACAGCAACGUCGUUGAUUCUUGCGUCAGUGAGUUGGUUUAUCCGUUCGUCUCGUGUGCACAGCUCGCACACAGUUUUGUAUAUAAACAAUCUGCUCGACGCGAAGAUGGAGCAGCUCCAGAGACAUUUGCUUGUCUCGCGAAUUUCGUCGUGCGUAACCGUCGUUCACGGAUGUCGUUCCAUUUUUCUUCUAAGCAUGAUGUAAACGAAGGUGUGCGUCAUCGAACGUUCACCAUUGAUCUUGCUAGUCACUCGAAUUUUUUUCACCGAUUUUUUAACCGAUACCGGACAAAUCUCUUUUAAUUUUUUCGUUUCUGAUAAAUGGCACUUGCGAGCAAUUCGAGAUUGUAUGAUUGACGCGUGACAACUGCACUGCGGCGUGUCAGACACUGAUUCGAACUUUUGUGACAUUCGAGCAUGUACAAUCACCGUUCCAGAUUCGUAUCUGUCUCUGACUCUGCGUUUCAAGAUCGAUCUCGGUCCUAG
rnacentral:lncRNA from 1 species